rnacentral:rRNA from 1 species
CAAAGAUUAAGCCAUGCAUGUCUAAGUAUAAGCAACUAUACGGUGAAACUGCGAAUGGCUCAUUAAAUCAGUUAUCGUUUAUUUGAUAGUACCUUACUACUUGGAUAACCGUGGUAAUUCUAGAGCUAAUACAUGCUAAAAACCCCGACUUCGGAAGGGGUGUAUUUAUUAGAUAAAAAACCAGCGCCCUUCGGGGCUCCUUGGUGAUUCAUAAUAACUAAACGAAUCGCAUGGCCUUGCGCCGGCGAUGGUUCAUUCAAAUUUCUGCCCUAUCAACUUUCGAUGGUAGGAUAGUGGCCUACCAUGGUAUCAACGGGUAACGGGGAAUUAGGGUUCUAUUCCGGAGAGGGAGCCUGAGAAACGGCUACCACAUCCAAGGAAGGCAGCAGGCGCGCAAAUUACCCAAUCCCGACACGGGGAGGUAGUGACAAUAAAUACUGAUACAGGGCUCUUUUGGGUCUUGUAAUUGGAAUGAGUACAAUUUAAAUCCCUUAACGAGGAACAAUUGGAGGGCAAGUCUGGUGCCAGCAGCCGCGGUAAUUCCAGCUCCAAUAGCGUAUAUUAAAGUUGUUGCAGUUAAAAAGCUCGUAGUUGAACCUUGGGCCUGGCUGGCCGGUCCGCCUCACCGCGUGUACUGGUCCGGCCGGGCCUUUCCUUCUGGGGAGCCGCAUGCCCUUCACUGGGCGUGUCGGGGAACCAGGACUUUUACUUUGAAAAAAUUAGAGUGUUCAAAGCAGGCCUUUGCUCGAAUACAUUAGCAUGGAAUAAUAGAAUAGGACGUGCGGUUCUAUUUUGUUGGUUUCUAGGACCGCCGUAAUGAUUAAUAGGGAUAGUCGGGGGCAUCAGUAUUCAAUUGUCAGAGGUGAAAUUCUUGGAUUUAUUGAAGACUAACUACUGCGAAAGCAUUUGCCAAGGAUGUUUUCAUUAAUCAGUGAACGAAAGUUAGGGGAUCGAAGACGAUCAGAUACCGUCGUAGUCUUAACCAUAAACUAUGCCGACUAGGGAUCGGGCGAUGUUAUCAUUUUGACUCGCUCGGCACCUUACGAGAAAUCAAAGUCUUUGGGUUCUGGGGGGAAUAUGGUCGCAAGGCUGAAACUUAA